CCCUUAGAUGUUCUGGGCCGCACGCGCGCUACACUGAUGCAUUCAACGAGUCUAAAACCUGCUCUGAUAGGGGUGGGUAAUCUUUUGAAUGUGCAUCGUGAUUGGGAUAGAUGAUUGCAAUUUUUCAUCUUCAACGAGGAAUGCCUAGUAAACGCAAGUCAUCAGCUUGCAUUGAUUACGUCCCUGCCCUUUGUACACACCGCCCGUCGCUCCUACCGAUUGAAUGAUCCGAUGAAUAUCAUGGAUUGAGGAUUAUAGCAGGUUCGUCUGUCUUGAUCUUCGAGAAGUGAAGUAAAUCUUAUCAUUUAGAGGAAGGAGAAGUCGUAACA
rnacentral:rRNA from 1 species